UCAUGUCUCUGUGUAUGUUAGCACAAGAUAGACUGUUUAGGUUUUUGCGUUACGGUUUUUGUAUUGUAUGUUUUUUUCGUCUUCAUUAAAUAUGUAUCAAGAAUACCACGCUGCAUUUUGGUCCGAUCCUUGCUACACCUCUUCGUCAGAGGAGGAGAUAGUAGAAAACCGUAACACACCCCCACAACACGAUGCUGCCACCCCCUUGCUUCACAGUGGAGACGGUGUUCUUCGGUUUGCAAGCCUCUCCCUUUUCCCCCCAAACAUAACAAUGGUCAUUAUGGCCAAAUAGUUCUAUUUUUGUUUCAUCAGAUCAGAGGACAUUUCUCCAAAAAGGUGUACACAGAGAUGGGACAAGUUCUAACCAAUCCCCAUCACCCACGGUUUAAGUUCCCAGAGACUGAAGAGGAGGCUGAUAUUCCGUAGACCUCUUCCCACAUCAGAGACUACGGACAGGCCUUUCUCUGUGGACCACUUUGAUGACUACCAGAAGCACUUCACUGUCGUGAACUUGCAGAGGGGGUCCAGCUCAAACAGGUUCACUACGAUGAAUUCAUACCCAUGUUUGAAAAGCAGUAUCCAUGGAAAGCGGUUGAGAGGAAGUGACACGGGACUAUGCUUAUGGCAAGAGCAACCAUCUGGUGAAGAGAUGUCGAGUGUUGCAAUGGAUACCAGCUGACUUGGAAGGGGUCAGCACUCAGACCCCUGAACCCUCUGAUCUCUACUACGAAGUAGGGAGACCUGAAACAUGUUUCAUGUGUCAAUACAGUCAGCCAAUUAAUUACUUACUCAAUGUCUUGAGGAAGUUCAUAAGUGAAAAGUCUAUACAUGAAACCUGCAGAGGAAGUCAAAUUAAU
ensembl:lncRNA